rnacentral:pre_miRNA from 1 species
GGGGGGAGCCCUGGAACCUGGGCUGUGUCCCCUGGGGCCCUGGGGUCCAGGGCCUGCCCCCCUGGAAACACGCUCCCGGGGCACGCAGCCCCCU